rnacentral:ncRNA from 1 species
CUAGAGACGGCAUCCAAAUCUGCCUAUGGCAUUUCCCUGUAUGUUAGCUUUGACCCGAGAGGGUAGCGACUAUGUACUAGGACCGGUUUGCGCUGAGUUCCUGAUCAGGAAGCGCGGCCGGU